UACAGAGGUGGCAAGCGUUGUUCGGAAUUACUGGGCGUAAAGGGCGCGUAGGCGGUGCUCUAAGUCCCGUGUGAAAUCCCCCGGCUCAACUGGGGAAUGGCACGGGAAACUGGAGUGCUUGAGUUUGGGAGAGGGAUGCGGAAUUCCAGGUGUAGCGGUGAAAUGCGUAGAUAUCUGGAGGAACACCGGUGGCGAAGGCGGCAUCCUGGACCAACACUGACGCUGAGUGAGCGAAAGCCAGGGGAGCAAACGGG
rnacentral:rRNA from 1 species